CCCUCCUGUCCUCACCCAGAGGCGGGAGGCCGGCUGUCCCGCAGCAGCUAGCAGAGCGGACGGCAGCCCACUAGCCCUGCCGCUGAGCGGGACCUGGUGCGGCAGGAGCGGGGACAGCGGCACCGUGAGCGUGGGCAGGAGUGCAGUGGCACCUGGAGGACAUGGAGGAAAGACCCGCGGAGACCAACGCCAAUGUGGACAACUCGGCGUCCCCCUCGGUGGCCCAGCUGGCCGGGCGGUUCAGGGAGCAGGCAGCCGCGGCGAAGGAGAUGCCAGCCAGUAAGCCUGCCAGGAGGAAACCGCCCUGCUCCCUCCCCCUGUUCCCUCCCAAGGUAGAGCUGGGCCAGAACGGAGAGGAGAAAUCACCACCCAACACAAGCCACCUUCCCAAGGUGAAGGUGAAGAGCUCGCCUCUGAUUGAGAAGCUUCAGGCCAACCUAGCCUUCGACCCCGCCGCCCUGCUGCCUGGGGCCUCACCCAAGAGCCCUGGACUCAAGGGCGCAGUGUCACCAUUUCACAGCCCACCUUCCACGCCCAGCAGCCCCGGGGUGCGGUCUCGGGCCAGCGAGCCAGAGGAGGUGCCCAUCAGCUUCGACCAGCCUCCAGAGGGCAGCCACCUGCCCUGUUACAACAAGGUGCGCACCAGGGGCUCCAUAAAGCGGCGCCCCCCGUCGCGGCGGUUCCGCAAGUCGCAGUCGGAGUUCGGGGAGCUGGGCGAUUUCCGGGCGCCGGAGCCGGCCCAGGAGAACGGGGCGCGGGAGGAAGCCGGGGACCAGGCGCUUCCGCCCCAGAGCCCGGCCCCGGGCUCCCCUCCGCCCGGCGAGGAGGCGGGACGGGGCGCCAGCCGGACCCCGGGGUCCCCCGAGAGGCCCCCUCUGAGGAGGACGCCCAGCAGGACGGACCCGCAGGAGGGGGAGGCCCGGGCCCCCGAGGAGGCCGCGCCCCCGGCCCCGGGCCCCGGCGCAGCGGCCCCGGGCGCAGAGGAGAGCGGGUGCGGGGGCCCCGCGGAGGCCGGGCCGGCGGCGGAGCAGCGGGAGGAGGCCCGGGAGCCCGCACAGCAGGGCCCGGACACGCAGCGGCCGGAGGCGGGGGCUGGGGGGCAGGGGAGCCCCCGGAGCCCCCCUGGCGGCCCGGAGGGCAGCCUCGCCCCCGCAGAGGGCAGCGGCGAGGAGGAGCACCAGGAGGGGGCUGCCCAGGAGCCCGGCUGCACCCCCAGGACCGGCCGCGAGGGCCCCGAGACCGAGUCACAGCCUCCUCAGAAUCCUGGUCUCCAGGCCCACCCAGUGCACCGGCACCUCAUUCACCUUCCGAAUGCCAGCUCGAUGCCUGCUCUCCUGCCCACACCUCCCUGUCCUUUGGUUACCUGAGUUCAUGUUUCUCUGCAAGCUGACCUUUGCUGGCGUCCCCAGCCUUCACUGUCCCCCAUGACAGGGCCCAGGGCUCCAUCCUUCCCCACCUACCAUUCCACAAUAGGCAAUGGCCAUCUCACCAGCUUCCGCCGGCCCUGCCCCAGAUCCCCCUGCACACCAGCCAGAUGCUCUGGGCAGCUUGGGCCACCUGGAGCCCGCCUACCGCCCCUCGUUCUCCACGGGCGCUCCCUGAUUGCCCGGGUCAAACACCCCAGCUGCUUGCACACCUUCCACUCAGUGCAGUCCAUGAGGAUGGCCCACGCCACACUGUGGAUCCGUCCGUAAGCCUCUCCGCGUCUCAGCUGGAAACCUGAUGAGGCCCAAGCAGCUCCUAACACAUGGGGAGCUGACAGCGGUGCUCCCACAAGUGCUCAAUCAAUAGCUGGCUUCCUGGCCUUCCCUCCAGGGACAACACUCCUGUCCAGGACACGAGGAUGUAAAGAGGAAGCCCUGUGCUGGGCAGCGAAGGGGCUAGAGACGGCUCCUCCGAAGUAGCAGCCGCAAUGGUAGCAGCAAAUGAGACGUCAGCAGCGGACUACGGGCAGGAGUCCACCUGAAGACACGGGUCGUGCUUCCUGGCCUCCACCCCAGCCUGGCAGAGACUGGGGCUGAGGACAGCAGAUUUUAUCAGCUUGCAUUUGUGUUAUUUGAUGGACUUGGUUUAGAAAACAAAAACAAAACACUUAUUUAAAACAACUUGCAAGAGUGACUACUCCCUGGGGAUACUGGUCAACCCCUGGGUCCAGACACUGUCCACUCGCACCCACCCCUGCGCUGACCUCGGGACGGACUCUGACUGAGCUGAUCGGAUUGUGUGUGAAGUGCUAGCCUUUUACUGCCCAAGAGUUUUUACCUGCUCUAAUGUAAGCAAAACCCAAUUUCAGGUGGCCAGAAACGACAAAGAAAAUAGUAUUGCUGAAAAUGUGAAUCCUGCGACAAAAAGACCUUAAAUUGUGUCAAGACCCCGAGACAGCCUUCCAGCAGGGCCCAGAUGUGAACUGGCCAGUCAACUCUUAAAACACUGGACUAGGGUCCUAGCUUGUUUGGCUCAGUAGAUAAAGGUCCCGGUUUCAAUUCCAGCCAAAGGCACAUGUCCGGGUUCUCUGCCCUCAGUGGGGGGCAUGCAAGAGGCAGCCAAUCAACGACUCUCAUCAUUGAUG